GGAACAAACACCGGCACGCGUGCCGGCUUGAGUGUACCGUGAGAAUAAGGAUCGGCUAACUCCGUGCCAGCAGCCGCGGUAAUACGGAGGAUCCGAGCGUUAUCCGGAUUUAUUGGGUUUAAAGGGUGCGUAGGCGGCAUGCUAAGUCAGUGGUGAAAGACGGUGGCUCAACCAUCGCAGUGCCGUUGAUACUGGUGUGCUUGAAUGCGGAUGAGGUAGGCGGAAUGUGGCAAGUAGCGGUGAAAUGCAUAGAUAUGCCACAGAACACCGAUUGCGAAGGCAGCUUACCAAGGCGAUAUUGACGCUGAUGCACGAAAGCGUGGGGAUCGAACAGGAUUAGAUACCCUGGUAGUCCACGCCCUAAACGAUGAUGACUCGGUGUCGGCGAUAGAAUGCCGGCGCCCAAGCGAAAGCGUUAAGUCAUCCACCUGGGGAGUACGCCCGCAAGGGUGAAACUCAAAGGAAUUGACGGGGGCCCGCACAAGCGGAGGAGCAUGUGGUUUAAUUCGAUGAUACGCGAGGAACCUUACCCGGGCUUGAAAGUUAGUGAAUUAUCCAGAGAUGGAUAAGUCCUUCGGGACACGAAACUAGGUGCUGCAUGGCUGUCGUCAGCUCGUGCC
rnacentral:rRNA from 1 species